rnacentral:snRNA from 1 species
AUACUUAGCUGGCAGGGGAGACACUCUGAUUAUGAUGGAGUUUUUCCCGGGGUGAGUCUCAGNCAUUCUACUCUGACUGUGUUGAUCUCUGUAAUUUCCCCAAAUGUGGGGGACUCAACUGCAUAACCUGUGGUAAUGGGGGACUACUUGCACUUUUUCUCCUG